AAAUAGCGGAGGAAAAGAAACCAACAGGGAUUGCCUCAGUAACGGCGAGUGAAGCGGCAAAAGCUCAAAUUUGAAAUCUAGCACCUUCAGUGUUCGAGUUGUAAUUUGAAGAAGGUAACUUUGGUUUUGGCUCUUGUCUAUGUUCCUUGGAACAGGACGUCACAGAGGGUGAGAAUCCCGUGCGAUGAGAUGCCCAAUUCCAUGUAAAGUGCUUUCGAAGAGUCGAGUUGUUUGGGAAUGCAGCUCUAAGUGGGUGGUAAAUUCCAUCUAAAGCUAAAUAUUGGCGAGAGACCGAUAGCGAACAAGUACAGUGAUGGAAAGAUGAAAAGAACUUUGAAAAGAGAGUGAAAAAGUACGUGAAAUUGUUGAAAGGGAAGGGCUUGAGAUCAGACUUGGUAUUUUGCGUUCCCUUCCUUUUUGGUUGGGUUCCUCGCAGUUUACUGGGCCAGCAUCGGUUUGGAUGGUAGGAUAAUGACAUUGGAAUGUAGCUUUACUUCGGUGAAGUGUUAUAGACUUUGUUGAUACUGCCUAUCUAGACCGAGGACUGCGUCUUUGACUAGGAUGCUGGCGUAAUGAUCUUAAGCCGCCCGUCUUGAAACACGGAC
rnacentral:rRNA from 1 species